rnacentral:rRNA from 1 species
UGAGGAAUAUUGGGCAAUGGGCGAAAGCCUGACCCAGCCAUGCCGCGUGAGUGAAGAAGGCCUUAGGGUUGUAAAGCUCUUUCAGUAGGGAAGAUGAUGACGGUACCUACAGAAGAAGCCCCGGCUAACUCCGUGCCAGCAGCCGCGGUAAUACGGAGGGGGCAAGCGUUGUUCGGAAUUACUGGGCGUAAAGGGUGCGUAGGCGGUUUAUCAAGUUGGAUGUGAAAUCCCAGAGCUUAACUCUGGAACUGCAUCCAAAACUGGUAGGCUAGAGUCCGAGAGGGGAUGGUAGAAUUCCUAGUGUAGAGGUGAAAUUCGUAGAUAUUAGGAGGAAUACCGGUGGCGAAGGCGACCAUCUGGCUCGGAACUGACGCUGAGGCACGAAAGCGUGGGGAGCAAACAGGAUUAGAUACCCUGGUAGUCCACGCCGUAAACGAUGAGUGCUAGAUGUCGGACAUUUGUUCGGUGUCGGAGCUAACGCGUUAAGCACUCCGCCUGGGGAUUACGGUCGCAAGACUA